rnacentral:lncRNA from 1 species
AUUUCUUUGGGCCGCUCCUGCGGUAUAUGGAGGUUCCCAGGCUAGGGGUUGAAUCGGAGCUGUAGCCACCGGCCCACACCAGAGCCACAGCAACGUGGGAUCCGAGCCAAGCCUGCAACCCACACCACAGCUCGCGGCCACGCCGGAUCGUUAACCCACUGAGCAAGGCCAGGGACCAAACCUCAUGAUUCCUAGUCGGAUUCGUUAACCACUGCGCCACGACGGGAACUCCAUUUCUCAUCUUUUGUUUCCUAUUUUGUUUAUUUUGACUCACCACUCUUUUUAUUUUCUUGGUUAGCUCACUAAUGGCUUGUCAAUUUUAUCUUUCUAAAAAUCCAUUGAUCAUGUUAUUGAUAUUUUCUUUUGUUUUUUGGCAUAUUAAUUUUGAUUCUAAUAACUGGUAAAUUUAUUUUAAAUUUUUAUAGAUUAUCUGUAAUUUCCUUUGGAUAUUUUGCCUAAAUAUGCAAACUUUAAUUUAUUCAGUUUCAACAUUUCUAUUUUACUUCAUUUGCUGGCCUACCUGCACUAACUCUUUUGUUAUGGAUUUUCAGCCCAUUGUUGAAUUAGAAAUGGUGGUAGUGGGCAUGUUUGCUUAUGGGUCUCACAAGGAAAGUUUGCAGUAUUUAAUGUCUAAUGCUAUUUUUGCUGAAUUGUCAUAUAGUUUAUCAGAUUUAAAAAGUUCCAUUUUAUCCCUAGUAUUCUGGGAGAUUUAACUGUAAAUAAAAGACGAGUUUGUCAGAUGUUGCUUUUGCAUCUAUUGAUAGGAUUGCAAAAAAUUUAUCUGUUAUUCUCUGAGUGUGGUGAAAUGUAUUAAGUUUUGAGUAUUAAAAGGGGAUUUCUGAGAUAGUUAAAUUUAGUCUUGACAUAGUAUCUUUUUUAUUGCUUUAAUUUCCUGAUGUUUUCAUUAGUGCAUUAUGCAUCUUUAUUCAAGUGAAAAGCUAUAUUUUCUAUUUUUACUGCUGUCCGUUUUAGUAGGCUAGGCUUAUUCUGUAGUUCAGAGUCUUGCUGAACAAGUCCUGGUGUCCUUGGAACUCCAGAACUCCAGAACACCAAACUAUGGCUCCUAAUCUCAAUUAAAGUUUCAUAUGCUCAGACAACCAUUCUCGUUUUAUGAGUGAGUUGAAAAGACAACCUACCUGUUUUAUGUGUGAGUUGGAAAAAAAAAAAAAAAAAAAAAAAAGCAUUUUACCUAAAGGAAAGGUCGUAUAAGACAAAACAGAAACUCACCACAGUUAAUUUUACUUUUUCCUGUGCUCUCACUAACAUCAGCUUGCCUUAAUUAUAUGGUGGUAUAUUUAAGCAGUUGUUUUUAUGCUCUUUAUGCAAAAUUUUAGUAGUUUUCAGUAGGAGAUUAGGAAGGUAAAAUACUCAAACAAGGUGGGAAUUUGAUGUUCCCAAAUUGGUUUUAAUGUAUUGUUGUUCUGAAGGCUUCUAUCCCUAGUUUGUAUUCUUAUAAAUCAUUAAUAUUUAUGACUAUCAACAUGAAAGAUUUUCUUUGCAAAAGCAAUUAAAUGCAUUGCUUAUGGGUUUUUUGGGUUUUUGUUUUUAUUUUUUGUCUUUUUGCCUUUUCUAGGGCCGCUCCCACGGCAUAUGGAAGUUCCCAGGCUAGGGGUCUAAUCAGAGGUGUAGGUGACAGCCUAUGCCAGAGCCAUAGCAACGCAGGAUCUGAGCUACGUAUGCAGUCUACACCACAGCUCAUGGCAACACCUGAUCCUUAACCCACUGAGCAAGGCCAGGGAUCAAACCCACAACCUCAUGGUUCUCAGUCGGAUUCGUUAACCACUGCGCCAUGAUGGGAACUCCCCAUGCAUUGUUUAUGUUUAAAGCCCUUAUCCAAGAUCUCUUUUUUCAAAGCCCAAGAAAGUAGAAACAAUAAACUAAAACACUUCAGUCUCUUACUUGUCUGAUCCUGCCAACAUCAACAAAUGUCCUUAGCACUUGUUCUAUCAAUUUGUACACAUCCUAUUAAAAUUCCCCCUUUCUCACCCAUAGUUUUCAACAUGUCUGAGAACUCUAUGCACUACGAACUUUUAUGAACAAGGAAAAUGGCACUAGUUAUUGAAAUUAGUGUAUAAAAGAAUAGAGUGAAAAAUAUUAGCAACAAUCGACAACUCCUAAUAAUAAAUCACUACUCACAUGUUGUGGUUUCAUAACCCGUGACUUAUUUCUCAAAAUGUGUAUGUCUGGUAAUAUCUGAGAUAUCAGUAGACCUUUUAAUCAUGACUUGUCAGUGUUGGGCUGAUAUAUUAUUUGGCUGAUUUUUUAAAAAUGAUGGAUAAUUUUAGUGUCGAGUUGAACUGAAAGCAUCAUUAAAGCCAGCAAAUGAAAAACUGCAGCAACCUUCCCUCUCCACUUGACAUUCAUAUCCUUGUAAUGUACACUAGCCAUUACUUCCCCAACUCAACUGCUAGAAGGCAAUGUGCUCAUGACUGGACAGUCACCUCCGAGUCUCUGCUAUUCAGUGCAUUAACUUUUCUCUAAUGCAUUGAAAAUUAAAUGUUAUAAAUGAAAACAUUUCUCUGGACAGAGCUUUAUGGCCAAGUGCUAAGUUAUGUUUCCUUUAUGAAAUAUUUGAAAACAGAUGGUGUAUGUACUUAUCCUUGAAAUCUAAGUCUAAAAAGUCAUUAGAAUUCUUCUCUGAGCAUUUUACUCACACUAUUUCUAAUAGAGACUACAUUAAUCUCUCUCAUUUUCAAUGCACCAUAGCAGAACACAUUUAUUGUACAGUUGUCAAUAUGUAGUUGCUUUUAUUGUGUAUUUCCCUACCUAGGAGAGUAGCCAUUUUUAUUUAUAAGUAUAUCCCAUAAUGUUGGACAGAGAGGGGGCCCAGAAAUAAAACAGAAGGAAUUAAUGAAUGCAAAUUCUAGUUGUAGUGUUAUUAAUUUAUUCAUGAAACAUUGUGUUCACUGUCUUAAAAAGGUGUAUGUACUUCCCUCAAAGUAACUGACCCAAAUAUUUGACUAUAAAACUCUGUGUAUACAUAACUUUCAGCUAACAAUAUCGUGAGGCAAUUCUCUAUGGUAUAUGAAGUUUUAUUAUAAAAUUUAGGUUGUCAACAGUAAUGUCAUUAUGCAUAGAAUCUAAGUUUACAUAUUUCCCAAAAUGUUACUGGACAAUUGAUCUUAAAUCUAUAGAAUCAGCAGAGCUGGAAAAUGCAAUCAAAUCACAAAGCAUUAAUCAGAACAUAAAAAACUCAUAGACAACAUUUCAAAGCAACCUGGAAUUACUUUGUCAGAUAUACAGAAGGGGGUAAUUAAGGAGAUGAUCACUGGAUGGUUAAAAGUAGUCUAGAGAAAAUAUAUGUAAAAACCAGAUGUGUUUUAAAACAUGUACAACUAGGCAAAACUGAGUGAGUGAGUAGCCUCUCAUUUGCUGAAGCAAAAUUAUUAUAAUAGAAAUCUUCAGUUACGUUACAAAUCUUCAGUUUUACUUAAUGCUUAUUAAUGCUGUAAGAAAACAAUAGAUCUUUGGAGUAUUAUCAAAGGAACAAAUAAUCAGUAUAAAUGAAUAUAAAAAGAAAAUUAAUAUUUUAAUAAUUACUUUCAAAUAUUUAUUUCAGAUUUAUACAUGUUAUGAGCAUUAAUAAACCCUUGUUACUCAUCUUUGGAAUUUAAACACUCGUAUGUAAAUGGCAAGAGUUGUAUUAAAGAAUACCAUGUCAUCUCUGCUUCCAUAGACUUUUUAAUUGGCUAAUUAUUUUGUUCGAAUAAGAAACGAUUUGAAGUCCACAAAGCUCAAUUACAACAUUUAACAUAUUUGCUUUCAUUAAUAAUGUCAUUUAUGUAUUUUACUUAAGUAUCCCAAUUGAAGUUUAAUUGGUGAAAAAGUAGUUGUUUGGUUAGUCAACAAAGCAUUUACUAAUUACCUAUCAUAUGACAGGCAUUGCUUCCAGAACAAAGAAUAACAAGUGAAAAAAUAAAGAUCCUUGACCUCAGGUGACCUAUAUUUGAUUGAGGAGGAUAUUUAUUAUUUAGUGUAGUAAUUAUCUUUAUUUUUCUUCCUAUAUCUAGAAUAUUGGGUAUAUCAAAAAUUUGCAAUGAAGGAAAUUAGCAAUUGAAAUAAUAAAGUGUAUAUCACCACAUUUGAUUUUUAUUGGACUAUAUCUCCUGUUGAUUUUUAAGCCUGAUAGAAUUAUCUAUUAAGCUAAUGUAAAAAUAAAUAAUAGAUAAAAUAAUAAACUCCUAAAAAUAAAGCUAUCUCUAUAAUAAAUCUUUACUAUUUGGAUGCAUAAAUUAAUACCCCUGUCUUAGUUUGCUUAUUAACUGCACUUUUUAAUGUUUCUGAGUUUUAGAGAAUUUUUCCUUGAAGCUUUGCCAAAAAAUUUAUAGGUGAGUAGAAAGGUCAUUGAAAUGCUGAGUAAAUAAUUCAUUUUUCUCAUCGGAGAAUUAUAACUUGAUAAAACAAUAUUUAAUUAUAGUUUUAAAUCAAAUAGCUCAAUCAUGUUCCAGACAAAAUGCAUCCCUUUGCAAAUAUUUUGAAGUGAAAGGGAGGUAUAUUAUAAUGAUUUUUAGCAAUGUGCAUAAAUACCAAUUGAAUUGCAGACUAAUUUUUGCAGAUUGGUUAUGUUCUCUUGUUUAUAUUUAGGGAAUUAUUUAGAAUAUACAUUUUAGUCUUCAUGCUAAAUAUAGUUUUAUUUUCAUCAAUCAAUACACAUUUCAUAUUUUUCAUUGAAAGUCUACCUUAUUAAAGUAAUAUCUGCUCGACAUUCCCAUGAAUGACUGAAAUUAUAAAAUGUACUUUAUAUUGUCAUGCUUAAACUCCUAAAAUACGUAAAUAUAUAAACUGAUUCUUUUUUUCUUUUUUUACCACCAUACCUGCAGCCUAGGAAGUUCCCGGGCUAGAGGUCAAAUAAGAGCUGAAGCUGUCGGCCUGGGCCACAGCCACAUCAGAGCUGAGCCACAUCUGUAACUGAUGCCACAGCUUGCAGCAAUGCUGGAUCCUUAAUCCACUGAGUGAGGCCAGGGAUCGAACCCACAUCCUCACAGACACUAUGAGCCACAACAGGAGCUCUGAUACUGACUUUUCAAAGGAGACUUCAGUCCCUCAAAACGUAUUUACAAAUGAGCUGUACAUGAGAUGGGAUACUUACAGAUUUUGGUGGAUAUUUCUAAAACAAAAAUUCCAAUGAAUCAUCAAAGACUUCUCAAAAUUAAGUUUUCUAAAAAGGCUAGACAUUUUUGCCCUCCCAAAUACAUGAAAUAUAUUUGUUCAUCUAAAAAAAUGAUCAAAAACAAUCUUAUUUCCAAACUAUUUAUUUGGCAAACAUUGUUCAUGUAACGCUAAUUAUCAUUUAGCCAUUCUACCCACUUACUCAGCAGCAUAGAAUGUGUAACUCAGUUGUGCCAGAAAUUCUUUUGGCAUCAGAGCAGACACUCUCUUGGUAAAUGGUGUUGACCAUUGUUAACAGAAAGCAUGCUGCCUUCAUGUAGCUCCCAACCCAUUAAAGAGCUGUUAAAAAUUUACAACCAUGGCGUAAGUACUAUAGCAAUGACUUGUAAAGGACAAAGAAAGUGAAUACAAAAGUGCAGAUAUCUUUGCCUUCAAAGGAAGGAAAUUAAGAUGAAUAAUAUCAGUAUGGUAAUACGUCAGUUACGGAGAGUGGAAGAGAAUGGCAUUCCAGACAAAGAUAAGAGCA